CUUGAUCACCCUUCCACUACAGGUAUGCCUAUUUCCAUAGAAAAACAUGCUGUUUCUAUAGUGUUGCAUGUAUAAAUCGUUUUGCAUGUAUCUUUAUAAAAUAUAGUCUUUAAUUGCCUGAUUUCUAUCUAACAACCUCCAAAGUUCAAACAAUAAAGAUUACUCUAUUUAAAGCACUAGAGACAGUCAGCAUUCACAUACAAUGUGUAUCAUAUGUAUUGUUUUAUCUCAGAUAUAGAAGACAAAAAUUUAUGGCAAGCUUGAUAUGCACCAUGAGAGCUAAUCUCUGAAUUCUCUGUUUAUUGUCAAUCAAACAUGAAUAACCUCUAGUUCCAAUGUGGUAAUGUCCAGUUAGGUAGAUACAAGCACUAUGGCAUUAUGGAUAGGAAAACAUAAAUGUAAUAGGUAUAAAAAGAAUUCCUAAAAUACUAAUAAUAUGUAGGACUAAUCACCUAAAAAGUCUGGAACUAUAUAUCGAUUAACAAUAUGACCUGAACAAAGAAAAAGCUAAUUGUUACUUAAUUUUUUUGUUAGUUAUGAAUAGCUACUAUGGCUACAAUUUGCUAUUUUGUAAUUCAGGAUAUAAUUGCAAAUUGGCAUAAAAUACUUAAAAUAUUUUUUAUUCUUAAAAAAAAUACAAAAACUCCAGAUGACCUCUUAAAUACUAAUGCUUAAGAAAACCCUAAAUAUUAUAUAUUAGUAAUUAUAUAGGGAUAGUUCCUAAAUUCAUUUCCUUAUUUGCAUAAAAAUGUCUUUACAUUUAUCAUGGUUUUAUGCAGGCAGCAUAAUUGUCCUGCUUGAAUCUUUGGUUUGACCUAUUUUAUUGCACUUAAGAUGACAGGAUUUCAAUGGUUUGACGAGUUCUGACCUAGCUAAUCAAAUAGUUGGAAUAUUUAUUUUCUUUAGUUGUGGUCUUGUUUUUGUCGGAUAAUUCCAACAGGCUAAGUCCUAACAGCAGCCAGGUGCAUUGCUAAUGCUGCCUGUUUCUUGUUUGUCAAGCUCAGCUA
rnacentral:misc_RNA from 1 species